CCCACACUGCCUCUCUGCCAUUAUCACAACUCACAAGUCCACAACCCUAAUUCCUAAAUCUAUUUUCUAAAUCCCGGUUUCACUUCACUUUCUCCGAAUCUCCGCUUCGUGGAAUCACGCAUCCGCGCAUCUCGUCUUCUCCACGAGACCACAAGUCCAUUGUCCGUUCCGGCUCCCACUAUCGGCGACCCCUUCGCAAGUAGCAACGCUGGUGACCGGUGAUCCCUCUCCGACUCUCCGUCUCUGCCCAGUCACUCCACUGCUCCAGGUUUGGAGGGUCUAAAGAUUUGAAGGCUGAAGCUUGGCAAGCACUUGGCAGUGUGCAUCAUUUGCUAUUUUAGAUUUCAUAUUUUGGGUUUUCUUUAGACUUGGUAGUUGGCGGUGUGUAAUGUGUAUUGCUUUGUUGGAUUUCAUAUUUUGAAUUUUAACUUUGGACAUGGGCUUUGGCAGUAGACAGUCUGAAUUUUAACUUUGGAAA